rnacentral:rRNA from 1 species
UUCCGUUGGGGUAACCUGCGGAGGGAUCAUUACCGAGUUUACAACUCCCAAACCCCUGUGAACAUACCUAUACGUUGCCUCGGCGGAUCAGCCCGCGCCCCGUAACAAGGGACGGCCCGCCCGAGGACCCCUAAACUCUGUUUUUAGUGGAACUUCUGAGUAAAACAAACAAAUAAAUCAAAACUUUCAACAACGGAUCUCUUGGUUCUGGCAUCGAUGAAGAACGCAGCAAAAUGCGAUAAGUAAUGUGAAUUGCAGAAUUCAGUGAAUCAUCGAAUCUUUGAACGCACAUUGCGCCCGCCAGUAUUCUGGCGGGCAUGCCUGUUCGAGCGUCAUUUCAACCCUCAAGCUCAGCUUGGUGUUGGGACUCGCGGUAACCCGCGUUCCCCAAAUCGAUUGGCGGUCACGUCGAGCUUCCAUAGCGUAGUAAUCAUACACCUCGUUACUGGUAAUCGUCGCGGCCACGCCGUAAAACCCCAACUUCUGAAUGUGACCUCGGAUCAGUAGAAACCCAAGUUCCU